UCCUGGUUAGCUCAGUUGGCAGAGCACUGCACAGGAAAGGGAGAGGUCCCUGGUUCGAUACCAGGACCAGGCG
rnacentral:tRNA from 1 species